rnacentral:rRNA from 1 species
UAGGGAAUCUUCGGCAAUGGGGGCAACCCUGACCGAGCAACGCCGCGUGAGUGAAGAAGGUUUUCGGAUCGUAAAGCUCUGUUGUAAGAGAAGAACGUGUGUGAGAGUGGAAAGUUCACACAGUGACGGUAACUUACCAGAAAGGGACGGCUAACUACGUGCCAGCAGCCGCGGUAAUACGUAGGUCCCGAGCGUUGUCCGGAUUUAUUGGGCGUAAAGCGAGCGCAGGCGGUUUAAUAAGUCUGAAGUUAAAGGAAGUGGCUUAACCAUUGUUCGCUUUGGAAAAUGUUAAACUUGAGUGCAGAAGGGGAGAGUGGAAUUCCAUGUGUAGCGGUGAAAUGCGUAGAUAUAUGGAGGAACACCGGUGGCGAAAGCGGCUCUCUGGUCUGUAACUGACGCUGAGGCUCGAAAGCGUGGGGAGCAAACAGG